rnacentral:misc_RNA from 1 species
UUAACAGUUCGCUUAGAACACUCAGAUAUAUCGUCGGGUUCGAACAGAGAUUCUGAUGAGACCGGCGGGCACGCCCGGAGGCGCGCCGCCGAAGCAACAGGUUAUAAAGGUUCACAAAGGGUUAUGAGUUAAGUACUCUGUAAUGAUCCCUCCGCUGGUUCACCAACGGAGA